rnacentral:lncRNA from 1 species
GAAGCCUAGAAUGGAUUCACUGACCUGUGUGGCACAGUGAAGUUUUUACCUAGAAGGAGAAAUGGCCCAGGAACCUGGUGGCUCCUUUGAAGGUGUGGUUUGUGCCACCAAGAGCUAGUAGUCCCUUGGAAAUGUUACUAGGUCCUGGCUGUAGGUGUACAGAGCUGUAAAUCAUCUUCUACAUAUUUCUACAGCUGUGACACCCUUUGGAAAACAUGGAUUCAUUUCAUUUCUGCUGACACCAAUGCCUGCAGACAAGCUGCAAAACCCCUGUGCCCCGCCUGAUACUACUCUAGAGGAAGCUGCAAAUGAGUAAUAUCUCUGAGAAGUGGGCAGCUUGGGGCAGAAUUUGAUUUCCUGAAAUCAUUCUGAGCUGUGGGGGAUGCUGGCACAUUAUGGCAGCUGUUUUUGACAGGGACUAA